rnacentral:rRNA from 1 species
UGUAUGGAUUAGUGGCGGACGGGUGAGUAACGCGUGGAUAACCUGCCGUAUACAGGGGGAUAACACUUAGAAAUAGGUGCUAAUACCGCAUAAGCGCACGGUUCCGCAUGGAACAGUGUGAAAAACUCCGGUGGUAUACGAUGGAUCCGCGUCUGAUUAGCCAGUUGGCGGGGUAACGGCCCACCAAAGCGACGAUCAGUAGCCGGCCUGAGAGGGUGAACGGCCACAUUGGGACUGAGACACGGCCCAAACUCCUACGGGAGGCAGCAGUGGGGAAUAUUGCACAAUGGGGGAAACCCUGAUGCAGCGACGCCGCGUGAGUGAAGAAGUAUCUCGGUACGUAAAGCUCUAUCAGCAGGGAAGAAAAUGACGGUACCUGACUAAGAAGCCCCGGCUAACUACGUGCCAGCAGCCGCGGUAAUACGUAGGGGGGCAAGCGUUAUCCGGAUUUACUGGGUGUAAAGGGAGCGUAGACGGCAGCGCAAGUCUGGAGUGAAAUGCCGGGGCUCAACCCCGGAACUGCUUUGGAAACUGUGCAGCUCGAGUGCAGGAGAGGUAAGCGGAAUUCCUAGUGUAGCGGUGAAAUGCGUAGAUAUUAGGAGGAACACCAGUGGCGAAGGCGGCUUACUGGACUGUAACUGACGUUGAGGCUCGAAAGCGUGGGGAGCAAACAGGAUUAGAUACCCUGGUAGUCCACGCCGUAAACGAUGAUUACUAGGUGUCGGGGGGCCAAGGCCCUCCGGUGCCGC